CACGGUGGUUCUCCUAUUAGGGUUUCUGAGGCCGUCAACAUGACGACAAUGAUUAAGGGUUUUGUUUGCAAUAAUCCGACAUUUCCAUCCUUGUUUAAUCAACGUUGUUCUUCUCGACCAUCUAUCAUGAAUGCUUCACUCCAAAUACCUCCUGGCAUUGAUCACCGCGGUGGUCCUUUAAGGUUGAGCAGGGGCUUACUUCCGAUCCUUAACCCCCACAAACAACAUGCCACUACACCUGUGACAUUCCAACGUCGAUGCGCUAAGGACAAUUUUCCUGUACAAAUUGAAAAUGGUA